rnacentral:rRNA from 1 species
ACACAGGGGAUAGCCAUUGGAAACGGUGAUUAAUACCCAUAAGACCACAAUACCGCAUGGUAAAAGGGUAAAAAGGGAUACCGGUGUAAGAUGGGCUCGCGUCUGAUUAGCUAGUUGGUGGGGUAAAGGCCUACCAAGGCGACGAUCAGUAGCCGGUCUGAGAGGAUGAACGGCCACAUUGGAACUGAGACACGGUCCAAACUCCUACGGGAGGCAGCAGCU